UACGGGGGGAGCAAGCGUUGUUCGGAUUUACUGGGCGUAAAGGGCGCGUAGGCGGCCACCGCAAGUCAGUUGUGAAAUCUCUGGGCUUAACCCAGAAAGGUCAACUGAUACUGCGGGGCUGGAGUGCAGAAGGGGCAACUGGAAUUCUCGGUGUAGCGGUGAAAUGCGUAGAUAUCGAGAGGAACACCUGCGGCGAAGGCGGGUUGCUGGGCUGACACUGACGCUGAGGCGCGAAAGCUAGGGGAGCGAACGGG
rnacentral:rRNA from 1 species